ACAUAUUUUGUGCUUUGUUUUUGCAGAGUACGGCUUUAGCUGCAUUGAUCCUAAGAAGUUGGGCAUUUCUUUGGAUUUGAAGACUAUUCACGACCCGGCUCCCGAGUACAAGUUCGGAAAAGAUAACCCUCGUAAUCCUCGCCUGAAGGAUUACGUGUUGUCUCCUUCGGGGGUUGCUCGGAUAUCCGAAGUUCGAGCUGAUCCGUGGGAUUCCGCCUCCUCUGUUGAAGCUGUUCCUGUGAAGGUUGUGCUUCCUGUGUUGAAGACAACUUCGGACCCGGAUCAACGCAAAAGGAAGGGUAGCACUCUUUUGAGGCCUUCCACGCAUCCGAAGAAAGCAAAGGCUUCUCAGCCCUCGGAGAAGGAAGCGGUUUCGGAAGUCAUGCCUCCUCCUAAGAAUCUUCUUCACUUCAUGCCCUUGCCAGGGCAGAAGUUAAAGAGUGUGGUGAUUGCUGAACCGCCGCCCGUGGACCAGCCGCUGAUCGAGG